rnacentral:lncRNA from 1 species
UGAGUGAUCUUUGGUUCCUUUGUUCCACAACCCAUGAGAAAAGGCUGAACUACCUCUGAGCUGUUCUCUUUCAAUGCUGCCAAAAUAUCAGUGUUCCGUGCAGCUAUUGUUUUCACUUUUAUUAUUCCUGAUUCAGCAGCCUCUUUGACGGGAGGAAAUUUUUUCCUGCACUCCAGGCUCAGGCCCCGCAGGUCUCCCUGCAUGUUUUCCAGCAGUUUCUUCACGGCUUCGGGGCUGCUGGUGCCGGACAUGGCGGCGCCGGGCCGGGCGCUGUUCCGACGGGGCAGGGGCAGCGCCUCCGGCUCCGCGGCCCCGGCCGACACGUCCGCGUCCGACACCGGAACCCGUCAGCCGCGGCCCCUUCCCUCCCUCCCCGCCGCCCGCCCUCCCCGGGUCGCCGCCGCCGCCCCCCCGCUCCCACAAUGCCGGGCGCCGCGCGUCAGCCGCACGGCCGGGGGCGGGCGGAGCGACCGCGGAGAGCUUGCGGGGCCGCCCGGCCUCCUCCGGCCGGGAGGGCCUUCCUCGGGCCUGCGGCUGCUGGGCGGGUUGCGGAGCCCGGCGCCGGGGUUGCCGGUAGUGCGGACAGACGGUGCUGAAGGGCCCCGGCUUUGGGCUGCUGCCUGCCUUUUAGGACGCCAUCCCCGCCGCUGACGUCUCCCGGAGGUGUUGGCCCCUGCCGCAGUAGCCAUUCGCUGUGCUCCUGUUGCUGUGCGUCUCUCCUCACAGUGCCCGCCGACCCAGAUUAAAACUUUUUUUUCACUUCCCGUAGUCUGUCGUUUUUGUCUUGAGAACUUGGAAAAAAAGUAAAAAUCGAGUUUCUUCGGACCUUCGUAUGAUUUAUUCAGAGAAUGUUCUAAGAUUGGCAUAAAUGAUGGGGUUGAGUGCGCCCUCAGCAAGUGGGCAGGCGACGCUGAGCUGAGUGGUGCAGUUGAUAGCGGCAGGAGGAAGGGAUCCAUCCAGAGGGACCUGGGCAAACUCGAAAGGUGGGCCCGGGUGAAUGUGAUGAGGUUCAGCAAGGCCAAGUGCAAGGUGUUGCGUUUGGGCGCAGUCCCAGGUAUGAGUACAGACUGGGUGAAGAACUUGAGAGCAGCCCUGCAGAGAAGGACUCGGGGGUCCUCAGGGAUAAAAAACCAGACAUGAGCCAGCAGCGUGCACUUGCAGCCCAGAAGGCCAAGAGCAUCUUGGGUUGCACCAGAAGAGGGAUGGCCAGCAGGGCCAGGGAGGGGAUUGUCCUCAUCUACUCUGCCCUGGUGAGGCCACAUCCGGAGUACUGCAACCAGGCCUGGGGCUCCCAGCACAGGAAGGAUGAGAAGCUGUUGGAGGAGGUCCAGAGGAGGGCCAUGAGGAUGAUAGAAGGGCUGGAGCACUUCUGCAAAGACAGGCUGAAAGAGCUGGGCUUGUUCAGUCUGGAGAAGAGAAGGCUACAAGAAGAUCUCGUAGAUUGAAAGAUUGAGGCCCUCCAAUCUUUUAGGAGAGAUUAAAAACAGGAGGGAAAUUGGCUCUUUAAACGGGGUAGAUCGUGAUAGGACAAGGGGAAAUAGUUUAAAAGGGGAGAUUUGGGGGAAGUUUUUCACAGAGAGAGUGGUGAGGUGCUGGCAUAGAAUGCCCAGAGAGACUGUAGUUGUCCCAUCCCUGGACAUGUUCAAGGCCAAGCAGAAUGUGGCACUGGGCAGCCUGAUCUAGUGUUUGAUCCAGCAAUUGGUGACCUUGCCUGUAGCGGGGGGUUGGAACUAGAUGAUCCUUCAAGUCCCUUCCAACACAAGCCAUUCUAUGAUUCUAUGGAGAUUGUUUUUCAUCUUUUGUGUGUGUCUUUUAAUGUCAGAAGAAAAAUAGUCGUGGAUCUGAGCACCCUUACCAUUUGUUUUUGCUCACUCCCUGUAACACACACUGUACAUCAUGUGGCAUGCAGGUUGCCCGUGGCACAGCAUUACUACUUUUAGUCAGCGCCCUUAUCUGUCAACAUAAGCCCUUAGGUUUGCUUUAAGAAGCGAGAAGUGAAGGACUGCUUUAUAAAUAACUUAUUCUAAUGUCUUUAUUUUUACAUUGUUUUCAAACCACUGGCUGUUAACUUGGCAGUGCUGGAUAAAUGGAUGUGACCUUUUAAAAAGGAAGGAAAUGUUAGCACAGUUAAAUUGGGUGGUCAGAGUUACUGCAUCCUCAGGUGAGGAG